GCGGGAAUAGCUCAGUUGGUAGAGCACGACCUUGCCAAGGUCGGGGUCGCGAGUUCGAGUCUCGUUUCCCGCU
rfam:Pantoea dispersa strain SA5 contig_7, whole genome shotgun sequence.